UCAUGGAGAAGUGCAUGGCGGUGGCGGAGUCCUGGCUCGUCGACAUCGACACCAACCGCGUGUACACCUUCACGGAGCUUCAGGAGACGCAGGCGGAGCACAGGAAGAAGACCUUGGAGCUACUUAAACAGGUGCAACAGGAGAUCAUAGAGAUUCUUAGCACAAUGUUCGAGUACUUCAAGAACGACUCGCAAACCGUCAUCCAGCAUUGGGGCAAGUACCUGGG